rnacentral:rRNA from 1 species
AUUGAACGCUGGCGGCAGGCUUAACACAUGCAAGUCGAGCGGAAACGAUGGUAGCUUGCUACCAGGCGUCGAGCGGCGGACGGGUGAGUAAUACUUAGGAAUCUACCUAGUAGUGGGGGAUAGCUCGGGGAAACUCGAAUUAAUACCGCAUACGACCUACGGGAGAAAGGGGGCAGUUUACUGCUCUCGCUAUUAGAUGAGCCUAAGUCGGAUUAGCUAGAUGGUGGGGUAAAAGCCUACCAUGGCGACGAUCUGUAGCUGGUCUGAGAGGAUGAUCAGCCACACCGGGACUGAGACACGGCCCGGACUCCUACGGGAGGCAGCAGUGGGGAAUAUUGGACAAUGGGGGCAACCCUGAUCCAGCCAUGCCGCGUGUGUGAAGAAGGCCUUUUGGUUGUAAAGCACUUUAAGCAGUGAAGAAGACUCCAUGGUUAAUACCCAUGGACGAUGACAUUAGCUGCAGAAUAAGCACCGGCUAACUCUGUGCCAGCAGCCGCGGUAAUACAGAGGGUGCAAGCGUUAAUCGGAAUUACUGGGCGUAAAGCGAGCGUAGGUGGCUUGAUAAGUCAGAUGUGAAAUCCCCGGGCUUAACCUGGGAACUGCAUCUGAUACUGUUAGGCUAGAAUAGGUGAGAGGAAGGUAGAAUUCCAGGUGUAGCGGUGAAAUGCGUAGAGAUCUGGAGGAAUACCGAUGGCGAAGGCAGCCUUCUGGCAUCAUAUUGACACUGAGGUUCGAAAGCGUGGGUAGCAAACAGG